UACCUGAUCCAGCACACCAUUCCACUUCUGUGUGGUCAGGAAGAGAUAUUUGGAUGGAUGUGGUCAGUGGGCAUCUGGACUGAAAUAGCUGAAGUCAAGGAGCUUGGAGAAUGGAAAUAGGACAAAAGGUUGGGAAACAGACUUUAUGGACUGUGGGUAUAUUUUAGACUCUGGAAACCUGUGGAGCUGGAAAUGCUAUCCAGAGCGAUUUGCAUGAGCAUGUGACCCCACCAGCACAGUCUCAGAGCCUAGAAGACUUUGAUCAUUAAUCCCACUUUUCCACUUUGAAAAUCACCAAAAUUCAAACAGGUACACAGUCAUGCAAAUGUACAGUACUUCCGAAGGAGGACCACCAUCACCUGGCAUUCCUGCCUGUCUCCGGGUUUGCUGUUGUGCAAUCUGAAUGAAGCAACUGAGGGCGAUUUCCAGGACUGGUGAUUAUGAUGAUUAGUUACCAGUGCGCUCUGUGGGCUGCUUCUGAGAGAAGACAGAUUUCCAGCCUGGCCUUGACAUGGGUUGGCCCCUCCCCGACUCUAAUUACCCUUUCCAGUAACAGUAAUGGUACUGAGAACUGAA